rnacentral:ncRNA from 2 species
GAAUACGAUUGACAAACAGGUCCUUGUUUAUGCGAGCGAGACAUUCGGAUAAGCAAGGUUAAAAGGGAAGUUUGGUGAAAAGCCAACGCGGUCCCGCCACUGUAUGAGAGGAGCUUUUUCUUCACGGCGCGAUGCCAUCCACUGCCCGGUCAGGGUGGGAAGGAGAAGAAAGGCGAUGAUUCUUGAGCCAGGAGACCUGCCUGUUUUUGUGUUGCACU